rnacentral:rRNA from 1 species
UACGAGGGGGGCGAGCGUUGUUCGGAAUUAUUGGGCGUAAAGAGCUCGUAGGCGGCCUGUUGCGUCUGCUGUGAAAUCCCGGGGCUUAACCCCGGGCGUGCAGUGGAUACGGGCAGGCUGGAGGCAGGCAGGGGAGAACGGAAUUCCCGGUGUAGCGGUGAAAUGCGCAGAUAUCGGAAAGAACACCAACGGCGAAAGCACUCUGCUGGGCCGACACUGACACUGAGAGACGAAAGCUAGGGGAGCGAAUGGG